AUAAGAAAGACUUCUAACCGACAACAUAUGGACAGAGGGAUAGAAGCAGGAGUGGAAGAGAUCCCUCAAGGGCGAAUGGAGGCUGCCAGAGAGACAAGACUGCCGAACGACAAGAGGUCCAGAGGCAGCCAGUCCAGGGCUGGGGAAGACAUUGGAUGAUGCUGUCAAGGGGUCAGGAUCUUCUACUCUUGUGGUGCCAUCUUCAGCUGGUGGUUCUCCUCAUGGCCCCUGGAGAGCUGCCGCCCCUUUGGACAUUACAUCUGCAUUCCAGAAGGAAGAAGAAAACAGGGCAAUGCGUGAAAGGGCACACCGGCUGACUUUCCCUUUCUGCCAUAUGUGUUCCAGGGCUCUCCUGUCACAGCCCCAUAAGGACGCUGGAAGCUCUCCUCUGCUUAUUAGCCUGUCAACUGUUCUUGAGAAAUGGAGGAUCCGUUAAGGUGAAAGGAAAUACGGAAAAAACAUUUUGGCUGUUUGGAAAUCUGGUUCAAGACCUUCCUUCUGAUUGACAACAGUGAGGAUAUACCCAAGGGCGGAGUGCCAGACCUGGUUUCUCUGUCUUCAGGUCCAAAUUUACUUCUUUUCUGCUUUGUAUGGGAGUAGAUGCUGUCCCUUGCUGGCUGCGUUUUUCAAGCUCCCUUGUCAGCUGGCUUCCGGCUUGGUUCUUCCGACAUGAGGGACUAGUGGAGACUAUGUCCUGGUGAAAGAGAGAAGCCAGGGCACCUCUCACCCUUCCUGUCUGCCUCAAGCAGCG
rnacentral:lncRNA from 1 species